GUCCACGCCGUAAACGAUGAGUGCUAGUCGUCGCGGGUAUUGACCCCUGCGGCAACGAAGUUAACGCAUUAAGCACUCCGCCUGGGGAGUACGGCCGCAAGGCUAAAACUCAAAGGAAUUGACGGGGCCCGCACAAGCGGUGGAGCAUGUGGUUCAAUUCGACGCAACGCGCAGAACCUUACCUGGGUUAAAUCCACUCGAAUCCCGCAGAGAUGUAGGAGUGCUCGCAAGAGAGCGAGUGAGAAGGUGCUGCAUGGCUGUCGU
rnacentral:rRNA from 1 species